rnacentral:rRNA from 1 species
AUGAAUGAUUCUUCUUGGAAAGUAGAUACUGGCCACAAGUCUGGAUAUCUGACCUACAUUGAGAAGGAAAUGGCUAAAGUGCUGCCACAUGCUGAUCUUAAAGCAGAUCCACAUAUCAGGUCUAAAGUUAAGAUUUUGAAGAAGCAACUUUCAUAUGUUCUGGAAAUUAUGCAAAAUGGUAGUGGGUUUGGAUGGGAUGAUGAGAAGAAGAUGGUAACUGGAGAUAGGGAGACGUAUAUGGGCUGGGCAAAGGAAAUAGUAGAAGAUGGAUCAACAGUAGAUGCACAACCUACCAGCAAACCAGCCAAGGAGAAUCUUCCUGAAUUAAAUGAUACAAGCCCAUCCGGUGGUUCUAGGCAUGGUCGUAAGAGAACAUACCCUGAUGAUGAAGCACUUGAGUCAGGUCUUGCAAGUGUGUCGAAUACAAUUGCAAAGUUCUUGGAAGCUGAGCAGGAGAAUGCUAAAACCAUGAAUGGUUUACAGACGGCAUUUAUGCAUGAAUCGCAUGUUCAUGAGCAAACAUCAGCCAAUAGAACCAAGUUACUUGAUAUUCUCCAGAAUCUUAAGGGUCUCACAACCGAAGAGGUUGUAAUGGCUAUCCGUGUCAUUGGUGGCGAUGCUGGAAAGACAGAACUUUUCAUCAAUUUGCGUGAUGAUUACAAAGUGGUGUUUGUUCGUCGGGAGCUUGACGCGGCCAAAAAAUAA